rnacentral:rRNA from 1 species
UACGUAGGUGGCAAGCGUUGUCCGGAUUUACUGGGCGUAAAGAGCGCGCAGGCGGUCGUUCAAGUCGCGUGUGAAAGCCCCCGGCUCAACUGGGGAGGGUCACGCGAUACUGAUCGACUCGAAGGCAGGAGAGGGUAGUGGAAUUCCCGGUGUAGUGGUGAAAUGCGUAGAUAUCGGGAGGAACACCGGUGGCGAAGGCGGUUCUCUGGGCCUGUACUGACGCUGAGGAACGAAAGCGUGGGGAGCGAACAGG